rnacentral:rRNA from 1 species
UACGUAGGGGGCAAGCGUUAUCCGGAAUCAUUGGGCGUAAAGCGCGUGUAGGCGGUCCGGUAAGUCCGCUGUGAAAGUCGGGGGGCUCAACCCUCGGAUGCCGGUGGAUACUGUCGGGCUUGAGUACGGAAGAGGCGAGUGGAAUUCCUGGUGUAGCGGUGAAAUGCGCAGAUAUCAGGAGGAACACCAAUUGCGAAGGCAGCUCGCUGGGACGUUACUGACGCUGAGACGCGAAAGCGUGGGGAGCAAACAGG